UCUUACAGAUGAACAAUGGGAGUAGUUUCCUGAGAUGGAAUCUACUACUGGUGAAAAUGCUGUGAA
rnacentral:pre_miRNA from 1 species